UACGUAGGGUGCAAGCGUUGUCCGGAAUUAUUGGGCGUAAAGAGCUCGUAGGCGGUUUGUCGCGUCGAAUGUGAAAACCCGGGGCUCAACCCCGGGCCUGCAUUCGAUACGGGCAGACUAGAGUUCGGUAGGGGAGUCUGGAAUUCCUGGUGUAGCGGUGAAAUGCGCAGAUAUCAGGAGGAACACCCGUAGCGAAGGCGGCACUCUGGGCCGGAACUGACGCUGAGGAGCGAAAGCGUGGGGAGCAAACAGG
rnacentral:rRNA from 1 species